GGUGAGGUGACCAAGUGGUUAAGGGGAUGGACUGCUAAUCCAUUUUGCCCUGCAUGCAUGGGUUCAAAUCCUAUCCUCCUCA